rnacentral:rRNA from 1 species
UACGUAGGGUGCGAGCGUUGUCCGGAAUUAUUGGGCGUAAAGAGCUUGUAGGCGGUUUGUCGCGUCUGCCGUGAAAAUCCGGGGCUCAACCCCGGACUUGCGGUGGGUACGGGCAGACUAGAGUGUGGUAGGGGAGACUGGAAUUCCUGGUGUAGCGGUGAAAUGCGCAGAUAUCGGGAGGAACACCUAUGGCGAAGGCAGCUCGCUGGGACGUUACUGACGCUGAGACGCGAAAGCGUGGGGAGCAAACAGG